CGGGAUGUAGCGCAGCUUGGUAGCGCAUCUGUUUUGGGAACAGAGGGUCGCAGGUUCAAAUCCUGUCAUCCCGA
rnacentral:tRNA from 5 species